ensembl:lncRNA
UGGGCGGCAAGACGACGCUCCUCCUACUGGGUCCUCCCACCAGACCUAAUCAGCCAAUCAGAGACAGGGAAAGAGCGAGAGAGAAACGGGGAGAAAGACAGAAAAACACUUUCUACGUGCAUAUGCACGUAACAACCCUUAGGACUAAUAUUUAUUAGUAUUUCUUAAAAAAAAUGUAAGUUUCAGUAUGUUCUAAAAGGUAAAAUAACAUACUGUUUUGCAUACUUUAUUAAGGAAUGGAUUCACUGAUGGAAUAUAUCUGCUCUAUGUCUAUAUGUAAAAGCUCAUAAUACUAUUUUUAGCUCACCAACAGUCAUUUUGCAGAAUUUUAAAUAAAUUAAAUACAUUUUUUUAAAAAAAGUUAAAGUAAAGAUUUCAUGUAAAUAUCUAGAAAAAUGUUUUUUAUUUAGGCUGUAUUAUAGCAAUUACAUAUGUAGGGAUGUUCACAACAUUUCAGUGCCAACAAAGGUAGGCCUAUUAUAUUCUAAAUAUCUAAUUGUAAUGUGUUAGUGAUUCACAGGUGGUUAUUUUAGAUUUCUUGUAAACCUGUCUUAAAGUGUAAGGAAUACUAAACCUUAGUUGGGCUAGUGGGACGGCUCGAAGCGGGCGGCGGAAAUUUUCCUUUAUUUUAAAAUUCAAAACUUGACGGGUAUGACUGUAUUGAUUAUUCCUGAAAUAUCAUCGUUAUCAUUCAUUUACUACAGCUAAAAGGUGCUGGAAAAACUUGAAAAUGGGUGUUGAAAGUGCUUGAAAAGUGCUUGAAUUUUUUUUAUAAAGUGGCUGGUCAGUGUACUGUAUUUUCUAAACAUCAUUACAUUUUGUGUCCACGUUCUCCGCAGUGCUGUGGACGUGUUGGGGAAUAUCGGUGAACUUGCCCUACAAGAGCCCCAUCUACGUGAGCUCCGGCAGAAAGCUGGCUCUCCAGGCCCAGGUUACGAAAAGUCCAGCGGAAAUCUUACGCUUGGUUACGUGGGAUGUCAGGAACGGCGAGGGAGAGUUCAGGCUCGAUACGAAUAAAUCCCCGGACCCUGAUAAUGUGCAUCUCCAGAUCGCCAAAGUGGAACGAUACGGAUCCUACAUCGUUACAAUUACAGACAGCCACGGGGACCAGACGUACGCUUCUGUGGAGGUGCGAAAGAGCACAGUCACAGAACCCUGCUCAAGCCGCAGUGGAUUGAUCGCAGUUGCAGUGAUUGAGGGAAUAUUGUUGGCGAUAGUGUUGAUAGUUCUUUUUAGGAAGUUAUAUCAGAAGAGACAAGACCUUAAGCAUAGCCAAAGUGAAGAUCAACCUCUGUAGCUCCUUGUUUAGGCAAUACUUUAUAUUUUUUGUAAAUUGUUAUUUAUUCACAAUUUCCUGCACUAAUAUUUUUGGACUGUUUGUUAAAGUGUAAAUAUUGUAGACACAUUUUAUGUAUACAGCUCUGAGAAAAAAAUAAGAGACCACUUAAUGAUUGUUUUUUCCUUGAUUUUACCAAAUUGAAAACCUCUGGAAAGUUAUCCAAAAGCAGUGUGUAAGACUGGUGGAGGAGAACAUGAUGCCAAGAUGCAUAAAAACUUUGAUUAAAAACCAGGGUUAUUCCAUCAAAUAUUGAUUUCUGAACUCUUAAAACUUUAUGAAUAUGAACUUGUUUUCUUUGCAUUAUUUGAGGUCU